AAGGGUUGAUUGGCUAAAAUGGAGAGCAGUGAGGUCUGAAGUAGUGAGUCCUGCGUAUUGUGAGCUCUGACACAUGAUACUCGAGAGAAUGUGUCGCUUGAAGACAGAACAUUUUGAAGGGUCCGGGCCAGAUAAGAACAUUUCCUCUGCUCUGCAUCAGAUAAGUCUCAAACUGUGACACAAAUCCUUUCAGCUUUGACAAAUGGAACACCACUGCUAUUCUCUAUGACACAUUUUGAAGGAGUUAGCUCACAAAAAUUAUUACUAUUGUAAGAAGGUACCUGGAAUCAUCGU